GAGGAAGAGAGAGGAAGAAGUGGAAUAGGUCCCGCGCAGUUUGUUGCUUAUAUAGCAAACAAAGAGUGCUGGAAGCCUGCACGCGAUCAAUCUUACUCGCCAAAAGGUCUGACAGCUCGGUGCCCUCACAACACAUUUAAGGCUUCUAACUCUCCCGCGGAUCAAAUGCAGCCAGGAAGCGGCGAGAAACACUGGUCACUCAGAUUAGAAGCAUUUUCGGCUGCUUCUAGCCCGAGCUGUCGCCGGAGGGAUGUUUUAGAAGAUAAAUAUGAAUCGGACGAGGCGAGUAGGCAUUUCCUUGCCGGGGAGGCAGCGAACACACCGACGGGGGCUGCUGAGGGUCCGGCGGCUGACAUUUUUAUUAUUAUGGAUGUGCCCACGCAGAUGAGAUGAGAGGAGAAGAAGAAGGCCACCCGAGAGUUUUCUUCACGUCUCAUCAGGAAGAGAGGGAAAUAAAUUAUGCAGCUUUUUCUUUUUGCUCGUGUGUAACCGCCAGCUCCUACUAUUUUACUGAAAGAUAUUAAUGCCAGAUUUUUGUAUGCGAGAAAAAUUGAUUGUGCAUUGAUUUUAUUUUUUUAAAUUAUUUUUAUUUGAGUUUAUCAGUUUAGACACCGCACUAUUUUCUGUCGCGAAAUGCAGUUAAUGCAACGGUCAUUACAGGCGCUUUGCCUCCACAAUUAAAAAUAAAUCAUAUGCAUUCUGAAUUUGUCGAAUUAAAACAAAUGUGCUUUGAUUGUAUUUCAAUUGUUUUAUUUACGUCUUCGAACUGGAGCAGCAUGGAAUGUAUAGGAAAGGGUUUGUCGUGUGUUCUAAUUCUGUUCAAUAAAGAAACUCCUAAAGUGUA